AAAACAUUUAAUUACCAACAAUCAGAUAGCUUUUUUCGUCAGAUAUUUUUGCGCGGGAAGCCACAAGCGACAUCGCUUUCAGUCAGUCACAAAUGUUCGUGAUAGGAUAAGAUUUGAUUUUGUGUAGGAUGUAUGGAUAGGCUGCCUGUUGGGUUAGGACAGCGAGUUCGAAACAAUAUUCAGAUGAAGAAAUAUUGAAGGUUAAAGAUUCAAAGACACGAACUAACGAACGAGGAAUAUUACAACGUUUUAAAACACUGCUUGAAAGUCGAGAGAACAAUUUAUCAUUGCACCAAAAGAAAUUCGUCAAGUGUCAGAUUUUCAUCACUGAGUGAGAUGGAGGCCUAUCAAGUCUGAAGAGCAAGAAGUUGCUGGGAGGGAAAGACUAUAGAGAACUUGAAGCUUUCUGAAACACUUCUUGAAAGAGGGAAAGACAAUUCAUCAUUAUAUCUAAAGACAUGCGGGGUUAUUCGUCCGAUUAUGCAUCACUGAGAGAGGUGGCUGCCUCGAGUCUAAAGAGCAAGUAUGUUAUUAAAAUCUUUUGAAUCUUUCUAAUUUACAUUCAUCACCACUAUUCACGGAUCCCCACAAUCAAUUUUAAAAUUGGUAUCUAUUACUAUUCCUAAAUAAGUUAAAAUUACUUUACUUAAUUUAAAUGCUAAACAUUUUAAUAGGCUU